UACGAAGGGUGCAAGCGUUAAUCGGAAUUACUGGGCGUAAAGGGUGCGUAGGCGGUUCGUUAAGUCUGUUGUGAAAUCCCCGGGCUCAACCUGGGAAUGGCAAUGGAUACUGGCGGGCUAGAGUGUGUCAGAGGAUGGUGGAAUUCCCGGUGUAGCGGUGAAAUGCGUAGAGAUCCGGAAGAACACCGGUGGCGAAGGCGGCCCGCUGGGCAACUGCUGACACUGAGGCGCGAAAGCGUGGGGAGCAAACAGG
rnacentral:rRNA from 1 species